GGGGAGCUAGGCUUCAGUGACUGAAAGAACCUGCAGGAGCCAAGGGCUGUGAGUCCACGCUGCUGGUACUGCCGCUGCUGCCGCCGCCGCCGCGCUGCCCCCUCCACUGGCGUUGCUGCGACUGGACUGCUGCCUAUGUCCAAGUCAGCCGGAAGAGCAAGAGCCCCAGUCGAAGCAAGACAGUAGAGUGCAAACGCAAAAUACAAGGAGAGCACCUAUAUCUUUGCAAAACAGGUGGACGUAUCUGACUCCUGGUUGGUGGCCCCUGCUUGCAAGGCUCAUCUCUUAUAAUAAUACCGUGAACUAUUUCAUCUUUGAACACAAAGGGAAACCUAUAGAACCCGAGAAGCUGAGGCCCAGGGAUGUCAACUGAUUUGUUCAAGCUCAUCCAGUAAACGUAUUACCAUCUACAUUAACGACGUCGAAAGUAGCCUACUUUAAGAGAAAAUAUGCAGAAGAAGAAGAUUUACAUCAAGAUUACAAUGGGUAUUUUCCAAAACACCUGAUAUUACCAGAAGACCGGACCUGCAUUCUAAAACUUUCACUAGAGAAGCUCAGGUUUCUUGAAGACCCUGAAACCUAUCUUCGAAGGUCUGUGCUGAUCAACAAUUUGUUGAGGAAGAUCCACCUGGAGGCGGAGAAAGAGAGUUAUGAAUACUUUAAGGAAGCUCCAUGUUAUAGGACUGCUUAUUCUGAUACAAGAAAACGGCUGAAGUUUAUGGUACAAGAAUGCUGCUCUCAGUCACUCUAUUAUGAAGAGCUGCAUUCGUACCAUAUUGUGCCUUAUUCUGCGGAGAAUGCCAUUUAUGGAAUGGGCUACACUAGCAGCCACUUGGAGCAAAAUUCUCAGUUGCUUAUUUAUAAAAUGAAUUAAAGCAACUGUUAGGUUGAUUUCCUAUUUUUGUUUCUAAAUGCCUGAACUGUUUCUAAAUGAACAGGAUGCACUGACUGCUCAGUGCAUUUGGGAUCAAAGCUGAGAUGCACUUUGAACUGAAUGGAAGAGUACUUUGAUUAAUAUUUAGCAGUCUUUAAUAUUAUCAUAUUGAAUCAAAAUUAUGUCCAUACAUUCUAAAGUUUGUAGAUCGAGUGCUUUUGGAAGCUGAGAUCUAUUUUAAGAUAUGGUUUCUACUUGUAAAGUUGUUCAUGCAGAUUUUUAGACAUUUUCAUCUAUGUUUGUUAUACCACCAUGGGUGGAGAAUAAAAAAAUGAAAAAAGGAACAUAUUCACCUGACAGUGUAGUUUCAAUGAGGAUAAUGGGUGGUUUGAAUUUAGCAUCCUCUGAAAGAUGAGAAAGUGGGCAGGUACUUUCAGAAAUGCUUUGUGUGUUUCUAAGCAUUUGUGCCAAAGCAUUUGCUUGGCACAAUUCUCAGCCCCAAGAGCUAGAAUUCAAAAUGGGGCAGCAGAUCCUGUAAAUUCAAAAUAAAACAGUUUUUUAGGGGGGAAAGAGACUUUAAAUGGCUCCACUAAAUUAUGCUCAGUUUUACUCAUCUCAUGGCUUAGUAGCCUUUGUUGUCGAGCAGUAAAAUUUAGUGAACCCUAUGUCUGGGUCUUGUCACCAGUCACAGUUUGUGGUGGGUCACUAUUGAAUAGUGAUAAUUUUAAUCUAUUUAGUCAUCUGUGUUGCAGGCUGUGGAGCUUGGGGAAGGGGUGGGUGGGCAAACUUUUUCACAAACUGGAAAUUCGUUGUUUUUUUUUUCCUGUAGUUAUCAAGGCUGGAAUAAAUCAACAGAUACACUAAGGUAUUCUUGCUUUACCCACUUCUAAGUGUGUUUUAGAGCACACAGUUUCAACUUUGCACUGGUCUUAGCAUUACUCUCAAGCACUAAUUGACACAGAAUUUCAGAGUGCUAUUGGCAUAACAGUUUAGGUAAUCAUGUUUUGAAAUGUGAAAGAUGUUUAUUUAAUAUAUUAGAUAGAGUUAUUAAAUUGCUUGAAGUAUUUUAUAUCAUUUGGGAUUUGAGUGUGAUGUCCAUCUUCAGGAUUUGGAGUUUUGUCUUACCAAGCAUGUCAUGUAAAAAGGUAAUAAAGUAAUCAAGCAGAUUGGGAAAACUAGUUGCCAAAGGUAUAACCAGAACAAACCAAAGACUAGUGUCAAUUAGGCUGUGGCAUUGGAAAGAAGAGUUGGAGAUGAGGAUUGCUUAGUAACGAAGAGCAACACUCCCGAUGCUUCUGCAAACUUCAUGUUUACUAAUGUGUUUUUGGAUCAUUUUGGGACUCUACACAGAACAACAGAAUGGUCAGAUGGGUGACAGAUUACAACCUUCAAUGAUCAUACUCCAUCACUGGUGAAAAGCUGAUGGUUUGCUAUUAUAUGAUCCUGAUGCUGAAAGCAAAGACUCUUCACUCAGAAAAUGAUUUUCUGUUUGAGAGAUUUGUAGCUUCUGACUUGAUUCAUGUUGUUUGUAGCCUAUUUUGAAGUAUCACCAUGUUGAUCAUGGGUGCAUUUGGUAUCAAGGAUUUUAAAAUCUUAAUUAGAAUGCACUGCAGCAGAUUGCAGAAACAUAAUAGCGGACUUUGCCAGGUGUGUAUUUAAUGAUCCUAUCAAGCCCAGGAUAAAAAGCAUUACAGCAAAAUGAAAAAUCAGAAUUGAGGUUAAUGCCCAUGCAAUGUAAGUUGAAUGGAAAUUCCUAAUAGAAAAACAAACCCUAAACAUCUGAGAGCCAAAUUUGUCUAGAAGUUCAAAAAACCUUAAAACCUGCCUUUUGCCUCCAUGCCAAGAAGGUAACUCUCAUUUCCCAUAAUAGCUCUUUUACCACUUAGAGUUCAUAAAGCAUAAUAAUAUUAGUUACAAAAGGCUAUGAAUGUAAGAGCAGAAACAGAAAAAGGAAUUUUCCCAGCUAGAAUUAGUAGCGGGAAAUUUUCAGAUUUGCAUUGGAAAAGGUAAUACAUUUGGCUUGUGGACAAAGCUACAGUAAUUUGCCUUUGAGAGGAAACCUAAUGAUAUUAGAUAAUGCAUGCAUCAAAGUAUUUUUUAAAAUCAGAAUAAAUGUGAAUAAUAUACUUAUCUUGAGAAAAAUUAGCACGGAAAAGGUGAGGGGAUUAGAGGAACUUUUUGUAUCAAGUGUACAUGAAUGAAUUGCUGGUGAAAUCAGCUACUCUAUGUGGCAGAGAAAUAGGAAAAUUUGUCUCAGUUGAUCGCACAUCAUUUAAAGAGCUUGCUAAUCUAUAAGUGCAUAUGAAGAGGUGGUUGUUGUUCAGUUGUGUCCAACUCUUCAUGACUUUCAUGUGGGGUUUUCUUGGCAAAGAUACUGGAAUGGUUUACCAUUUCCUUCUCCAGCUCAUUUUACAGGUGAGGAAACUGAGGCAAACAAGGUUAAGUGACUUGCCCAGAGUCACACACCUAGUGUCUGGGGCUACAUUGGAACUCAGAUCUUUCUGACUCCAGGCAGGUGCUCUAUUUACUGUGCCACUUGGCUGCCCCUAUGAAGAGAAGUACCAAUGCCUAAAAAUGAACAAUUCUUUGAAAAUGUUAAAGUAUUUUCUUAAAACUAUAACAAAUAAAAAUUUAAAGGUUAUUUAAGGUAGUAAUCUAUUUAGGGCAUUUAUACCUUUUCAUAAAAAUCAUAAUAAUAGUUCAUUAAUAAGGAGCUUCCCAUUAACUUGAACACCUGUUGAAAUAUAUUAAAACUAUGAAACCUCUAUUCUUCUAAGAAAGAAAAUUAAGAAAAAUUAACCAGGGUAGCAUUAACUACACUUCCUGUUCUCCCCUUUAACUGUCCCAUUGUCUGAUAGGAUUGAGUAAUACCUGUGGGUGUCGCUAGCAGACUAGAGACAUGGUAAGAAAGUAGGUUAAAAAAAGGGAAGCAAGGAAAGACAAAAAGAGAAAAGUAAGGAAAAGUGAAAUCAGGAGGGGGAGAAAGCUUAGAGAAAGAAAAGAAAGAGCGAUUCCAGUGAUUCUUUGACUGCCACCAACAGCUGGCAUCUGAGCCUUUGGCUGUCCAUUCCAUCCGGACAAAGAACUCAUUCAUCUCCUUAGUUCGUUGCUUUGCAUUCAACAAGCAUGCUGGAUUGUAGUUAGUCCAUAUUCAAUUGAACAAUUUAUGUGCUAAAUUUUAAAAUCUUCCUCUGUCUAAAUAGUAUGUCAAGGGCAUGGCUGAAGAUGAAAAGAUGUGAUGAAUAGGUGAUUGAUAGGCUGAGCAAAAGGCAUCUGCAUGGAUGGGUCAGCCAAAUACCUACACAGGGCCUCAAAUCUCAUCCUAGAGUUUUACAAAAUGAGCCCCACUGCAUGCAGACGUGAAGGAUAUUUUAAAGUUAAGUGGCUGUUAACUGGUAGCCUAGGCUUUUCCCACUGUUCAAAUAUGAGAAUGCUUAAUAGGUUUAUGCCUCUGUGCCUCUGUAGGCUGUUCUGAAGGGAGAACCCCAGAUGUUAAUGAAUCAAAAGCCAAGUACUGAUGCUUUUCGAGAUGGAGUUCAUAUUUUGCUAUUAGGAACUAAUCAGUAUAGAAACCAGGAUGUAGAAACCCUGGGGGCAAAUCACGUUGUGUCCUUCUCCCCUCAACCUCCUUCACUGUUUUCCUCCUCAUACAGGCAAAACCGGCAUGAACAAAUAUAGCUGUAAAAGGGGCAAAAGUCACAAAAGAGUAACAGACUGAGAAUUGUGUCAAAAAAGCAGUCAGGGUGAGUCUUACCCUAUUUGUCUUGUUGAGGCAUCAGGGCCAUUGAUGGCCAGAAUAUGAGUGUAUUUAUCACUUGCUGACAGUAUGUUAUACGAGCCUCAGGUAUUUUUUCUUCAUUUUUUAAAAUACCAGCUCAAGGAGUCACUUUUUCCCCCUCCCCCAUCUGCUCCCUGAAUCACUGAAUGCUCUCCAUCACUGCAGCAGCGUGCAUUUGGGAGAGUCCUCAAUGCCUGGGGCCAGGAUGGUCACUCUGAUUUGGUGCACCUUAGGACAGAACAAGUAAUUGUGAGAGGACAAAGGGGAAGCAUUAGCCUUCUGCACCAGCUGAACUUUCUCUGGGAGGAGGGUUUUUAAGAGUAGGGCCAAUUAGUAUUCAUUGCUGUAAUCUGGUCAUUCCUGGACUGAUGUAGUGCUUAUUGAAACAAUAGUUCUCAGUCUUCUUUACAGAACCUUAUAAAAAUGUUAAUUUCAUUUUGGGACUUAUAAGCUUACUUUCAAUGCCAUAUGAUGCUUUGCAGUUAUAUUCAUUUUAUUAAAUAUUUAAGAGAAAGUACUUUCAUUUGAAAAAAUAGAAACUUUUGAUGAGCUUUCAGAAACUAGGAUCCAAUGCAAACAAGUGUUCUUAAUUAACUGAACAUUUAUGGUGUACAUAGUUAUAUAUGUGUCAAUUUAAUAAAUUCCCUUUUCAAACUUCAUUGAUAGAUGUCAGGUAUAGGAUGAGUUUUGGUUGCUUGUUUCUUUUCCUUGAGGGCCCUUUCCCAACUGCAGCAGUCCAUCUGGGGCUGAAAACUUUGGUCUGAGCUCUCAUGUUAAUAUAAUUCUCUUUCUGUGAGGAUUGUCAAUAGGUUGUACCUCUUAACCUAAAGAACUUUCCAACCAGAAAUAUACACAGCAGGACAUCGUUUUCUUUUUAGACUUGAAAAAAACCUUUUUCUUUUCAACAUGACUUUUUCUAUUCCUUAAAAGAAGAUAGUCAAUUUAAACAGACAAGAAAUUAGGGUAAAACAUCAAAUUAGGGUUACAUAAAAUGACAUAAUACUAAUUUUCCAAAUUAGCUGAAAAUCCUCUCCUCUUUAAAGGAUGAUGUAAAGUUUUAUGUGUUAGAUGGGAAAUGAUGAAAUUACAUAAAUAAAUUACAUGAAAUUACCUAAAAUUACAUGUAAUUUUAAGUUUAUUUUUAUCAAAUAUAAGAAAAGCGUAUCUAUAUAUAUGUCAUAUAUAUGGAGUUCCCAUUCUUAAAAGUUUAGGAAAUGGUCAUGUGGCCAUUUAUUUUCUUGUUUUCUUCCCCUGCCCCAAGGAACAGUCUCAGAACUAGGCGGUCCAUCAGGUAAACAUAGAGCCAGGUCCACAGUUAGCAAGAAUUGGAUACUUUCAGGCUUUGCUAGAUCUGGGAAAGACAUUAGACAUUAAACUUAAAUCUCUGACUUACUGUGAUGGUUGCACACUGCAGUAAACCCAUACGUGAAAUGAUGAGGAAAGAAACUUACUUGCCCCUUUUUGCAGUGAACUCUCUACAGUUUGUGGUCUUGUUAUACAUCUCUUGGGUCUACUCAGUUGUAAAGGCUUGCUCAAGCAGUGGGAUGACGCAUGUAAAUGAGAAAGAGUCACAUGCAUUUUAAAAUUUCUGCAUGCCAAGUGAUUUCUUGUCAGGGUAUCUCUAGGUCAUACAUAGUUGGUAUAGCUAUUAUGAAAUAUAUCGUCAUAAAUUUGUCAUAAACCACUAAUGAAAGAACAAAAGCAGAACAUUUACAUCUAUGGAAAUGCACUCAAAUGUCAAACAGAUGGUGUUCUACAACAUUUAUUUGGAGAAUAUAUACAUCUGCUAUAUAAUCAGAAAUAUGCUUUUUCACAUUUUAAAAUAUCUUGGUUAUGGUUAAAAUUUUUAUUGGAUUGUUUUCUAAAUGAAGAGAUAGAAAAAGGUAAAUGUAUUUUAAAACAUUUGACAUGAUAUUAAUAAAAUUUUAUUUCUGGUGAAAUACAGGUGCCUUUAUUAAAUUCUAAACAAAGCCAUGAAGCAAGGGAAGUAGGAUUGUGAACAUUUACUAUUUCUCUUAUGUCUCCUCGAUUUCAUUUUUCUUGCUUUAAGGGCACCUAGAUGCAAUGAUUUGACAUUUUAUUUUCAACAAAGGAAAAUUUGCUUAAGGCCUUGGAUGGUCCUCUCAGGACUUUUGGAGGAUUAUCUUUUCCCAAUGACCCUUGCAAUGGUUUUCAGGUUGUAUCUAUCAUCACCACAUAUGUCAAGACAUGAUGCCAUAAUAAGCUUCAGAAUCAGAAACGGUUUUUUUUUUCCUGCCAGAAGAGCAGCAUGAAGACAGUGUAUCAAAACUGAACACAGGUUUUGAAUGGGGUACAGUGGAAAGAAUAUAGAAUUUAGAGUUAGAGGACCAAGUAAA